rnacentral:lncRNA from 1 species
GUCUAACUUGGUGUUCUCGUGUUGUUUGGGUACAUCCCAUUAGCAUAUCCAGAAGACAGACCCAGUCCAAGUGAAUGCAUGGAAGCAUACACGUUUGUGAAUUGUGGAAGUGGCUGAUGUACGGACGUGUUCAGCAGUAACAUCAAUUGAAGUUUUCCCUCCAUGACCAUUUAUUUUGUUAGCAGCAUAUUUCCAUUGGCAGAAGCUGGAGGAUGAUUUGGCAUAUUAAUUGGAAUUAGUUUUUGGUAGUUUUGGAGUGAGUUCGAUUUGGUCCCAAUGUCCAUUCUGUAAAUUUGUAAGCUUAGCAAAAUCUCAUGAUUUGUAAUGAAUAUAACACUGGAUGUGAAUGAAAAUUGGUGUCCUUGUAGCAAAACAUAGUUGUUCUUUGC